CGCGUAGGCGGUUUGGUAAGUGUGAUGUGAAAGCCCAGGGCUUAACCUUGGAACUGCAUCCCAUACUGCCAGGCUAGAGUAUGGUAGAGGGGGGUAGAAUUCCACGUGUAGCGGUGAAAUGCGUAGAGAUGUGGAGGAAUACCAGUGGCGAAGGCGGCCUGCCGGGUGCAAACUGACGCUGAAGCGCGAAAGCCAGGGGAGCAAACG
rnacentral:rRNA from 1 species